ACAUUGUGUCCUGCUCUUCCUGUUCCAACAUUUUAACAAAGAUUCAGUCUGUCUGGACCAACAGUUCAACAAUUUUUACUGAGCUCCCCAGUCAUUUCUAUUUAACAACUAUCUGAGUGAUUUUGUACUGAGUUGACACAUUGACUCAACUGACUAGACCAUUUAUUCACAAUAGUCCAGCAGUUUUUAUGUGUUAGACACAACAGACACACUUACGAGGUAAAGUGGUUGUACUCAACCAUAGCUGUGUAUCCGAGUCUCCUGGGGCACUUUUUAAAACAAUGCAGAUUCCUUGGAUGUAGUAUAGACUCAGUCAAUUUAAAUCUCUAAGAGGGCGAUCAGGACAUAUGUUUUAUCUUCUCUUUUUUUUUUUUAAGUUUCACAGAGGAUUGAAUAUACAGUUAGGAUUAAGAAUCACUGAGAUGAAUGAUUCUAUGCCACUUACAAUAGACAUAAGUAAGGCUAUUAUUAAACCAACUCAUAUAAAUUAUCAUCCAUCCAAGUCUUCAUUUUGCCUAUGUAAGAUAAUUUUUAAUGAUGUCUAAAUGUUUAGAUUGUUUUAAAUUCAGAAAUCAGGGAAAAAUAAUAACAAAUAAUUUUUUAGUCGUUGUAACACUUUAGUGAUCCCCUUCAAAUUGUCAAGGAAGAAGAAAGUUAACAUUGGUGUUGAGACACCAAUGAAGAAAUUAAUGGCUUGAAAAUAAAAUUGGAGGAAAUUAUUAAACUUAUCCUUAAAACUAAGUUGUAUAGUAGCAACUUAACUGCCACAGUAACAAUGUGACUCUCGUAGG
rnacentral:antisense_RNA from 1 species